GUUUGAUCCUGGCUCAGGACGAACGCUGGCGGCGUGCUUAACACAUGCAAGUCGAACGGAAAGGCCCUGCUUUUGUGGGGUGCUCGAGUGGCGAACGGGUGAGUAACACGUGGGCAACCUGCCCAAAAGAGGGGGAUAACACUUGGAAACAGGUGCUAAUACCGCAUAACCAUAGUUACCGCAUGGUAACUAUGUAAAAGGUGGCUAUGCUACCGCUUUUGGAUGGGCCCGCGGCGCAUUAGCUAGUUGGUGAGGUAAAGGCUUACCAAGGCAAUGAUGCGUAGCCGAACUGAGAGGUUGAUCGGCCACAUUGGGACUGAGACACGGCCCAGACUCCUACGGGAGGCAGCAGUGGGGAAUAUUGCACAAUGGGCGCAAGCCUGAUGCAGCGACGCCGCGUGAGGGAUGGAGGCCUUCGGGUUGUAAACCUCUUUUAUCGGGGAGCAAGCGAGAGUGAGUUUACCCGUUGAAUAAGCACCGGCUAACUACGUGCCAGCAGCCGCGGUAAUACGUAGGGGGCAAGCGUUAUCCGGAUUUACUGGGUGUAAAGGGAGCGUAGACGGAAUGGCAAGUCUGAUGUGAAAGGCAGGGGCUCAACCCCUGGACUGCAUUGGAAACUGUCAGUCUUGAGUACCGGAGGGGUAAGCGGAAUUCCUAGUGUAGCGGUGAAAUGCGUAGAUAUUAGGAGGAACACCAGUGGCGAAAGCGGCUUUCUGGACGACAACUGACGCUGAGGCGCGAAAGCCAGGGGAGCAAACGGGAUUAGAUACCCCGGUAGUCCUGGCCGUAAACGAUGGGUACUAGGUGUAGGAGGUAUCGACCCCUCCUGUGCCGGAGUUAACGCAAUAAGUACCCCGCCUGGGGAGUACGUCCGCAAGGAUG
rnacentral:rRNA from 1 species